rnacentral:misc_RNA from 1 species
GCAGAUAGUGCUUGGGAUGAUUAAAUGGAAGUUUCCUUCAGUACCUCUUACAUAGCUUUGAUGAUACAAGCUUAUGUUUUCAAGAUUUUUAAGGUGUACAGUUUCUGAGUUUGGGCUUAAAGAUAAAGAUGUGCUGAAGAUUAUAAAUUUCUGGUGAGUUGUUCAUCUUCCAAUGUCACUGCUCCAUUACAUGUUCAGUUACCAGUUAU